rnacentral:rRNA from 1 species
UACGUAGGGCGCAAGCGUUGUCCGGAAUUAUUGGGCGUAAAGAGCUCGUAGGCGGCCUGUUGCGUCCGCUGUGAAAUCCCGGGGCUCAACCCCGGGCCUGCAGUGGAUACGGGCUGGCUAGAGGCAGGGCAGGGGAGAACGGAAUUCCUGGUGUAGCGGUGAAAUGCGCAGAUAUCAGGAGGAACACCGGUGGCGAAGGCGGUUCUCUGGGCCUGUACUGACGCUGGAGGAGCGAAAGCGUGGGGAGCAAACAGG